AACGAACGCUGGCGGCAGGCUUAACACAUGCAAGUCGAGCGCCCCGCAAGGGGAGCGGCAGACGGGUGAGUAACGCGUGGGAAUCUACCCAUCACUACGGAACAACUCCGGGAAACUGGAGCUAAUACCGUAUACGUCCUUCGGGAGAAAGAUUUAUCGGUGAUGGAUGAGCCCGCGUUGGAUUAGCUAGUUGGUGGGGUAAUGGCCCACCAAGGCGACGAUCCAUAGCUGGUCUGAGAGGAUGAUCAGCCACACUGGGACUGAGACACGGCCCAGACUCCUACGGGAGGCAGCAGUGGGGAAUGUUGGACAAUGGGCGCAAGCCUGAUCCAGCCAUGCCGCGUGAGUGAUGAAGGCCCUAGGGUUGUAAAGCUCUUUCACCGGUGAAGAUAAUGACGGUAACCGGAGAAGAAGCCCCGGCUAACUUCGUGCCAGCCGCCGCAGUAAUAC
rnacentral:rRNA from 1 species